ensembl:lncRNA
CUACCAAUGACUGUAGAAAACAGUCAUUGGUUUCUACUUUUAGUAAAAUAUAAUAAAAACUGAAUUAGAAUAAGAUUGUUUGACAACAACAACAACAACAACAAAAAAAAGACUGGAAAAGAGUAGACUAUGGCAAACAGAAAAGAACAUCAAGGAGAGAAGAGGGACAGGAAGAAGCUUACAGGAGAAGACAGGAGGAGGAAGGGAGGGAAAUAAAAGGAGAGGAGGCAACAAGAAGAGAGACAGAAGAAAAGGAUGGGAAACCUGCUCUGCACUCUCGGCCUUGAGGGCCUACCUUCCCAUGUAUGGCACUGUGAUGAGUCAGGUCUCCAAGACCAGUUCUCCUCAACCAAGGUGCUUGGAGUGGUUGGGCAACCAUGUGUGGAGGUCUGUGCAGGUGAGAAAGAUGAAACUACCACUUGCUUGCUUAACAGCCUUCAAUGUGGAAGGCGUUUUCAGUUAAACCAUGAUUAUCUUCAAAGGGAAACGACUACGAUGUGAGUGGCUCCAACAUUGCCCUGAGAAUGUUACUCUUCGGGUCUUAGAUAAUAGCUGGAUAAAUGGUGAUCUCUUCUUGGAAUGGGGUCAGUUGUUUGUUCAGUCAUUACCUCAGGAUGACGCCAGACCCAUCUUGCUACUAAUGGACUUUAUCAAUUUAAUGAGGAAAAAAAAUGUCCACAUUCUGUGUUACCCUCCACACGCCAUUCGUGCUCUUCAGCCUGUAGACAAGGCCCUGUUCCGACGCCUGAAGCACCACUGGUACAAAGAGGGAAGAAAGUGGACCAGACUAAUGGCAGGACAAAAGCUACCAACGUCUGAGUUUUUCUCAGUUUUCUGCCCAGCAUACAGAAAGGCUGCCACUGUUAAAAAUGCAUAGGCAGGGUUCAGAGGGACAGGAAUGUUCCCUUUAAACAAAUACAUCCUCCAAAAAGUGCUUUCCUCCCAGUAAAACAACUGAGAGACCCCUUCCACUUACUUCCCCUUCCCUUUUCAGCAAACCCCAGAAACCACAAGCACCACCAGGCAAAACUCAGACACCACUAGCCACUGCCCAGCUGACCUUAGAAUCCCUCAGCCCCAUUCAUCACCCUGCAGUGGUAUCCGAGGUGCCCCU